UCUAAUUCUUUGCUCAGUUCUUCUAUUCUUUCCUCAGUUCUUCUAUUCUUUCCUUCUAUCUUAUUCUCUUUGAUCAUUCCACAUCAGGUCAAAAGGUUGAAAUGUAUGUUGAUAAGGUUUGGAAAUUCUUAUUUGGUACGGUUGUUUCUGGUAGAAAUUUAGAAAUUUGAUAUGUUUCUAUUUUCUUGCAAAUAUGUAAUGACUUGUGGUUUACUUGUUUGGUAAACCAUAUAUGAUUAUACGACAUUGACAGAGAUAUGAAAGUGCAUUGUAGCUGAGAAUUUGAUUGCGAACCUUGGAAAUGAUCCGUUUUGUCUAGAAAUUAUUUCCUUAUUUUCUUGGUAUUAUUGUUUGUGCACUUCAAUAUGUCUUCUUAUAUUGUUGACAUAGUUUCUGGUACAAAUUCAAAGAGGGUUUUGUGUGGUAAGUUCGAAGUUUCCCUUUUUGCAACAGAGCUUUUGUUGCACCUGCAGAUAUUCAGGCAUUCACCCGUGAGGCAAAAGAUAAAGUGUCUGCUCGAUGCCAGGGUAAAACAGUUAAAAUUUUCGCCCAAGCAGUGAAGGAAAUCUGUGAAGAAUUUGAAGAAUUACAGCACAAAAAGUCUAGUGGUAUAAGAGAUGAUACCAAUAAACUAAUUCUUGGGUCUGAGCUGCCUUCAGAUGAUAAAGUGGCAGAUAAUACCUUGGAGGUUAAUCUAAAAGAUAAUUUGAAAGGAUCAAAUAGCAAAAUGGAGACCAAAGGGCUGGAAAACCUGAGCUCUGAGCUAAAGCCCUGCUCACAGCAGAGACAAAAUGAGUCGGACUGUAAAGAUAUAAUGCUUGACAUUUCUAAUGAUGUAAGUCAUAGUUUGUCCCCAGUUACAUCUUCAAAAAAGAGGAAAAAGCCUUCUGCCGAUGGUAUUAAUAUUGUGAAGGAGUCAGGACCGACAUCUAGCUGUCAUUCCAUACUGAAAGAGGAAGGUUCUUGUGAUUACAAGUUAAGGAAGAGACAUCAUAAUAUGAUCCAGACUGAAUUGAAAAAUGAUCACAAACCAAAGCUAGCAGUGGGUUCAAAGAGGAAACCUGAGGGUGCAAAUGUAGUGCUUAGAGGUUCGGCAGUUUCAGCAGCACGUAAUGACUCUGUUUAUCAUGUUGAUUUAUCUUUUGAGAAACCUGAAGGUGAGACGCAAAAACAAAAUUCUUCAGGAAACAUGGACUCAUCUAUAGAUAAUUUGAGGUCUAGUUUAGAUGUUGAUAGUGUAAGGGCAGAAAAUAAAUUGCUGAAAGACAAAACGUAUUUUGAGGCUUCAGAUGAUUUUCAAACAAAUAUCAAAGUCAAUUGUGAGGAGAAAAAUGAGUUUUCCCAGGGGAAUAUGAGGCGUGGCUGUGAAAAUCAAGCCUUUCAGAGAAAUGAAGUCUCCUAUCCCUACAAAAGAUCAAAAUGUUCAGCUACUGCAGAUGAUGCAACCAUGAUAGAAGUCCAAACAAGCAGAAAAAAUGAUUCUAAAAGUCCUAAUGUUCUUGAUGACAUCGAUAAUACAGAGGUUAAAAGAACACCAGGAGUGAAGGCUGAGAAUGGCUUCUUCAGAGUGCAGACAAUUUCUAAUGAGCCCAAUGCUUCUGUAGAUGAAGAUGAUCUUCCCCCAACAAACUGUCGUCAACGUGCAUUGCAGGCUGAAAAUAGAUUGGGAGGUUCUGGUGCUCGUGAAAAAUAUUUAUUGCAAUGUGAUAAAGUUCGUUCACCGGCUAAGCAGUUGCCAAAAAAGCGGAGAGCUGUUCGCCUUUGUGAUGAAGAUGAUGAUUGUGAAUUGCCAAAAACUCCACUUCAUGGAGGAUUUGCCAAUAAGGUUUCUGUUCUUCCACCUGUGCAAGAUUCUACAAGGAAAACUUCUUUGCAUGGUAAGAAUUUUGUCCAAGAACAAAUAGGCUUGACCACAUCUGGCACAGCUGAGGGUGGCUCAAAGGAACAUGUAUUACCUACUCUAACAUCCAAUAAAGCUUCACCAGCAACUGCUAAGCAGGGCAUGGCAAAGAGUAGUGAAAUUUCAGCUGCACAGUUAUCUUCUAGUCCUGAACAGUUAUAUUCUGGGAAGUUAUCAACCAGGGUGGUUAAAGCAGUUUUAGUUUCCCCUAAAAGGCCCCUGCAGUCUAAUGCUGAUAACAAAUUUUUAGCUGAACUAAAGAACAAGCACUUCAGCAAAGCACCUGGUAAUUUUGCUCAGAAGAAAGCUCCAGCAGGAUCCAACAGUGGCCCUGUUGCAGCUUCUGAUAGGUUAAAUUCAUCUAUCAAUAAAUCAACAAAUGAACUGAACAAACCCACUUCUUCUGGAGACAGAAGGAAGAAUGCUCCAAAAUCAGAUUCAUGGAUCAAUGAUUCUGUUGUGAUGGGUAGUCAAAUUGAAAGUAUUGCCUCACUUGGUGAUAGGCCGGAUGUUGUUAAAGAUGACAAAGAGAGUUUUCCAAUUGAUUCGAAGUCUAUGAAACAUCUUAUUGCUGCUGCUGCGCGGGCAAGAAAGAGACAAUCUCACUUUCAAAAUUGGCAUGGAAAUCCUCUUCCUCUUUUGGUUCCAAAUGCUGACAUUCCUGGAAGGAGUCCAAGCCUUGAACCUGUCGCCCAAGCGUUUGAAUCCAGGAGUGUGCCCCGAUUGGAUGUACAAAUAUUACAUCCCCAAUCAUCUUUAUCCUCUUCUUCAUCUGAUGUUCGCAAAUCUUCAUCCACCAAUCAACAUGAGAAUGAAGAAUUUGAGGAGAGGAUAGUGAAUUCAGGUAAACGGACUGCUGGAGGUUCUCUAAGUGGGGGUACAGAGGCAGCUGUUGCUCGUGAUGCAUUUGAAGGAAUGAUAGAAACAUUGUCAAGGACCAAAGAGAGCAUUGGGCGUGCAACUCGUCUCGCAAUUGAUUGUGCUAAGUUUGGGAUUGCCAAUGAGGUUGUGGAACUUCUUAUCCAGAAGUUGGAAAGUGAACCAAGUUUUCAUCGCAGAGUGGACCUGUUUUUUCUAGUUGAUUCAAUAACUCAAUGCUCUCAUACCCAGAGAGGGAUUGCAGGGGCCUCGUAUAUUCCUACAAUUCAAGAAGCAUUGCCCCGUCUUAUUGGAGCUGCUGCUCCACCUGGGUCAGGUGCUAAUGAAAAUCGUCGUCAAUGUCAUAAGGUCUUGCGUUUAUGGCUAGAGAGAAAAAUAUUGCCAGAAUCUGUUAUUCGCCACUGUAUGGAUGAAAUUGGAAUAUCAAAUGAUGAUACAUCUGCUGGAUUUUCCCUAAGGCGUCCUUCACGAGCUGAGCGGGCUAUAGAUGACCCUAUUAGAGACAUGGAAGGCAUGCUUGUGGAUGAGUAUGGGAGCAAUGCUACAUUUCAGUUACCUGGCUUUCUGUCCUCUCAUGUGUUCGAGGAAGAAGAGGAAGAAGAAGAUACCAUUCAAGCUAAUUUGUGCAAGGAAGUUGCAGAUACUUCACCAUCAGAAUGCACUCCAUCAAUUGGAGAUCCUGAAACUUAUACCGUUACUCCAAGUGACAGGCGCCCCUGCACUUUAGAGGAUGUGGAUGGCGAGCUUGAAAUGGAAGAUGUUUCUGGACAACAAAAAGAUGAAAGACAAUUGCUUUGCAAUGGGGUCUUUUCUCUCUCUUCAGCUGAGAAAAUUUCAGAUAGAUUGCUUGAGUCAACUUCAAACAAUUCUAUUGAGUCACUGCCAGAACCUGAGGGCUCCCCACCUUUGCCUUUUGAGUCUCCUCCCUCAACUCCACCUCUACCCAGUUCACCUCCACCUUGUUUGUCUUUGUCUCCACGACCACCACCACCACCGACAUCCUUGUCACAGCAGCACCUAUAUCCUCAGCGACCUGUAGAUUAUCUUCCAACAUUGCUUCCUCCACCAUCAUUUCCACCUCAGUCUGCAGUGAAGUCACAAAGUUUUCCCUCAUUUGCUUCAGCAAUAUCAACCUCUUCACCUGCAGCAGCUUAUCAACAUCCUCCUCUACCACGUGAAAUUGGUGGUAUUCCCACUGGAAGUCAAUUUGCUCAAAUGGCUGUAAAUAAUCCACAUGGGCCUCGUGUUGAUGCAUCUGUCGGAAGUGAAACAUUGGCACAGGAAUCACCUUGCUUUCCUCCAGCUGGAGUGAGCAAUGCACGGGAGCAUUCUGGUUAUAAUAUGCCAAGGCCCUUAGAUUAUGGACAGGGUGACACAUAUAUGAAUCACCAAUCUUUUCAACACGGGCAACCAUUUCCACCUAGUGGUGCUGCGUUUGCACAAAGGCCUCUCUGUCCUGAUCCUCCACCUCAACACUCACACAGUCAUUACACCUAUCCAAAACCCUCUGUCCAGGAACAUAAAUACCCGACUUACUCAUUGCCAAAUUUUUCUGGUGCACCAAGGAGGUUUGCAGUUGAUGAACAUUGGUGGAUGCAGUCAAGUGGGUUGAAUGAUGGUCGUCCAGGAAGUGGGUGGAUGGCUGGAGGCAGAUCAUUUUCAGGUCCAUCUGCGCACGCAGGUUAUUUUGGACCACCUCCUGAAAGGCCUCCUACAAGUAGCGAUAGUUUUCAUGCCUCUACCCCAAUGACACUGCCAGCUGCAACUCCAAUCUCAGGUCACGGUAUCCCUCACAUGUUGCCAUGCAGACCAGACAUACCUGCCAUCAACUGGAGGCCAGCCUGAAUUUUUCUGAAACCUACUGUAGGAAUUUCUCCCUCUCCCUCUCUCUCUCUCUCUCUGCAGACCCUUUAACAGGUGAUGGAUGAAGAAGGAUUUCUGUUAAUAUCGCUUCGGCAGAAAUGUUGAAUUAGAGCUAGAGUAACUUGACAUGGUUGUAUAAUGGAAAUUUUCUGGUCAAAUGCAUCCUGCAGGCAUAUACCGUUAAGUGUAAGCUCUUUUUACUCAAUACAGUGGUGCUUGUAAUUAUACUAAAUAUUUCCGAGAAUGAAUUUACUGAAAGCUACCGGUUCAAGUUAUGAAAAUAGCUUCUCUCCUGUUUCAUUCCCAA